GGGAUCAUGGCUCAGUGGAAGAGCAUCUGAGUUGCAUGCAGAUGGUGCCAGGUUAAAUCCCUGGCAUUGCCA
rnacentral:tRNA from 1 species